CAUUCGUGAUUAUGACAAUCAGCUGCUUAGCAAAACAGUAUUGAUUUACGAUGAGAGUUUGACAGGAAUACCUUUGAUUGUGUCCGUUAUUCGUCAAGGUGUGAAAAUGACUGGUGGUAGUAACUUAGUGGUGCCCAUGGUGUUAUGGGGGAGGAAUGCCCCGACCCACUGUAUCUCAACAGUACUGAUGACACCCGACCAGCGCAACAUCAUCACUGGCUGCAAUGAUGGACAAAUUGCUAUUUGGGAUGUCACAAAAAACUGGGAGAUCUACCCUCGUAGUAUGCUGUUUGGACAUACUUCAGCCAUCAGCUGCCUGGCCCUUGGCAGUUCUCAUCCUAACCUACCUUAUAUUGUUAGCGCUUCAGAGAAUGGGGAGAUGUGUCUGUGGGACAUCACUGAUGGUCGUUGUGUGGAGUGUACCAAGAUGUCUUUCAUCCAUUCUAACAUGCAGGCUUAUCAAUUCAGAAAGGAUGUUCGACUAGUAUGUAAUGGCUACUACCCAGAGAUUUUGAUUAUCGACCCUUUAACAUUUGAGAAGAUCUACUCUCUGUCUUCCAAAGUUGCUCCAGAUUGGAUCAGUGCCUGCUGUGUUCUGCGACCAGUGAAGCGACAAGAUGAUGUCAUUGUGGCUAUCUCCAACUCUGGAGCGGUCAAGGUCUGGAGUCUGAUGGGAUCUGAGAAUAGAACUCAACCUGUAUAUGAGGAUGAAUCUAAACAGAUUAAAUGUCUAAAUGCCCAGACUCUUGCCUGCUGUCCGUUCAACCAGAGGACAGUUCUUAUUGUCUGCUCCAAGUACUGGCAGAUAUAUGACGCUGGAGACUUCACCAAUUUAUGUUCCGAGUCGAACAGGUGUGGGGAGAGGUGGUCAGGUGGUGACUUCGUUAGCGUGGACAAGGUCAUUGUAUGGAGUAAUGAGGGCAAGGGAUACCUGUACAAAUUACCUACCAAUUGUGAUGUAACACAAAUCAAUACCCACAUGAAUGCCACACCAGAAAGUCCUGACUACCAUCGCCAGAGUCAUCAGCCAUCAGCCCCUCACGCCUACUACAUACUCGACAUGUACUCAGAGCUGUCUAUGGCCUGUGCGCCAGUCAUGACCUUUCACCAAGGUCACGAGGAGAAUCCCACUCAGAUCCUGAUCCGUGGCGACUCGGAAGGUCAGCUAGUUGCAUGGACACUACCUACAGUGACUGAACGACAAAUGACUUUGGUCAGACAGGAGAGUUUUGACCGCCUUCCAGCCUUGCCCCCGCGAUGCAGCACAACACUACAGGAAGUGUGGGAUAGUCUUUACCAGCCUCCCUCUGGUAUCAUUGAUGGACUGUGUGACGAGGAAGGGAGACCACUCCAUAUCACAUCAACAAUCUACAUCCCGUCACAAGGCAAGGUUGCAUGUGGCAGGGAGGAUGGUAGCAUCGUCAUAGCACCAGCCACCCAGAGUAUCAUCACCCAGCUUCUCGACUUUAAGAUUGAUAAAGAUGACAUCACCGUUCGUAUUCUGAGAGGCCAUGACGGCCGAGUGACAUGCCUAUUGUACCCGUUUAACGACAGUUCUCGAUAUGAACCCAACCACCUACUCUCUGGUGGAGCAGAUUUCUCUGUGAUGCUGUGGGACAUGUACUCCGGAUUAAAACUACACACUUUUACGGUGCACGGAGGGGAGAUAAAUCAGCUUAUUGUUCCACCUUGUACCUGCAAUACAAGAAUUUUAUCAUCUAUAUGCUCCGUGGCAAGUGACCAUUCAGUAACUCUCCUGAGUCUAAAGGAGAGAAAGUGUAUCAUGCUAGCUGGUCGCCACCUAUUUCCCGUACAAACCAUAAAGUGGCGCCCUCUGGAUGAUUUCAUGGUGGUGAGCUGUUCUGAUGGCACGGUGUAUGUUUGGCAGAUGGAAACAGGACACCUAGACCGAGUAGUCCAUGGCCUCACAGCAGAAGAAAUCCUCAAUAACUGUGAUGAGCACGCUGCUCCCACAGACCAACUCAUUAAUCCCAACCUUACCUUAGCCCAGGCCAUCAAACGCCGUAAUCUUUUGACUUUCAAAAACCUGGCUCAACAGAAACUACAGCAGCAGAUGGUUCAACAACAACAGGCACAAGGGGCCCGAUGUGACCUUGUCAAACCCCAGUCUUACCCUAUGUACAUACAGGGUGUGAGGACCAACACCCGGAAUCCAGACGCCCACAUCAUCUUCUUUGAUACAGAGUCUCUCAUUGUCCAGCUGCUUACUGACGAAUAUGCCCUGAUGUCGCCGGGAGAGCUUGAGGCAAAGGGGUUUUUCUCCUCUGGACCAACAGAUACCCCUAGUGGGGACAUAAGUGAAGCCCAGGCCAAAAUAUCAGGUGUGAUGGCAAAGAUCAAAGAGAAAGCAGACAGUGUUGGACAGAAAAUUCAAGGCAAGGUUGAUCCAUCUGGAAUGAGUUACUCUCCUACAGCAAGUGCCCGGGAGUCCCCUAGUAUGGGGCGCAGGGGAUCACCAAAAAUAAAUAUUUCAGGACAGGUCGACUCCAAUCUUACUAUGGAGAUUGCUCAGUUGUUUAUGUCGUGCCUCCAUGCCUGGGGUCUCGAUCCCGACCUUGACAAGCUGUGUAUUAAUAAACUAGGCCUGCUGAAGCCACGAUGUCCUAUAUCAUUUGGACUCAUAUCUAGAAGUGGCCACAUGUCCCUUAUGCUACCAGGAUGGCACAAGAAAGUCUGCCACGAAGAAAUGGGCAUGCCUGAACCACAGAAUGCAGCCAUACGUGGCAGAGGAAAAGGAAAGGUGACCUUGAAACAGCAGGCAAGGUCAGCAUCCUACAAUGAAAUAGAACGUAACCUGUUAAGUGGUGAUUAUACAACAGAUAGUGACUUAGAGAAUGAACAGCGUCCAUUGUCCAAACGUGCGUCUGACGGCGCCAUAUUAGGGAAGGAGAGUUUCCAACAACAGGAGAUGAAGAUAUUUUCUAGCAAGGCUCGGUGGCAGAUAUCCAGUGGCGUCACCACCCAGCACCUCCUCAGUGUUAUAUCCACCGCUAACACACUAAUGAGUAUGAGUCAUGCAACAUUUGCCACAAAACGCAUCAUCAAGAAACAUCUCAAAGGAACCAAGUUCGGGCUCCACAAAGGUUUAUUAGUGGCAGAGGACAACAGUUCAGAGGGGGGUAGUGAGGAUGAGUCUGACAUGGCCAUGAUGCAGCAGUCACAGAUAAAGCAGGGCUGGAGUCUUCUUGCUGCUCUCCACUGUGUCCUCCUCCCAGAGAUGGUGGGGUCCUCCAGUAUACAACCUCCACAACUGGAGAUGCUAGCUCGGCGCUGGCAGGACAGGUGUCUGGAGAUUCGAGAAGCAGCCCAGGCCCUAUUACUGGCUGAGCUUCGUCGGAUUGGGCCAGAAGGACGGAAAGAAGUGGUAGACAUUUGGUCUCCCUAUCUCCCUACCUACGUGGACCAAAAUGUCAGUCUGAUGGCUAAUGAUGGUUCUAAAGGCGAGGAGGAGGACGAGGAUUAUGAUGAUGAGGACCCGAUGGUCACAGGUGACUUUCCUAUCAAUAAGACAUCAACCUCCUUUGAGAGUCGUCGGAAGCAGGCCACAGCUAUUGUUAUGCUAGGUGUAGUUGGGGCUGAAUUUGGACAUGAGAUGGAACCUUCACGACGUAAAAAUGAGGAUAUCAAGAAGUCCAGAAAAGCAUCAUCAGCAAUCAAUCAAGAUGGUUUUACACUGACGAAUUACUCUCUGUCCAGACAUACAAGCAAAGCAUUGAUGUUCCUGCUGCAGCAGGCCCCCAGCCGACGCUUGCCUGCUCACACCCCCAUCCGACGGGCAUCAGUGGACCUCCUAGGCCGAGGCUUCACCGUGUGGGAGCCCUACCUGGAUGUGUCCGCUGUACUGAUGGGACUGCUGGAGCUAUGUACAGAUACAGACAGACUUGUACCACACAGUAUGACCUUCGGCUUACCUUUGACCCCGGCUGCAGAUGCCUGUAGGAGUGCACGCCACGCCCUCUCUCUCAUCGCCACGGCCAGACCACCGGCCUUUAUCAUCACCAUAGCAAAGGAGGUGGCACGCUACAAUGCAAUAGCCCAGACGGCUCAGUCCCAACACUCCAAUAUUCACAAUAAUGUGCUGGUAAAGAGUAAACAGGAGAUACUACGGGUGGUGGAACUCCUGGUGGAGAAGAUGCCCAAUGAUGUCGCUGAUCACCUGGUGGAGGUGAUGGAUGUAACAAUGCACUGUCUUGACCCCAGCCAGCUUAAGUCGAAAGGACUGAUGGAUCUCUUCCCAGCCAUUUGUCGGUUCAGCAUGGUAACUGUGUGUCCGGUCAGUAAGAGGAUCUGGGUUGGAGCAAAAAAUGGUGGCCUGGCUUUCUAUGAUCUGAAACAACACUCAAAAUGUCAGAUGACCACUGCCCACUCCGGUCCAGUUGUAGCCACUUGUGUGUCUCCAGAUGGAAAGUACCUAGCCACAUACUCUCACUUCGACAACAGACUCAAAUUCUGGCAGACGGCAUCCUCUUCCUUAUUUGGGAUUGGAUCACAACAGACAAAGUGUGUCAAGUCAGCUCCGACUCCUCCCUGCCCAGUGACCAACCUCACUAACCUGUUGAAACUAGUCCGCCUGGUGUGGGUGGAUCCAAGAACAGUGAUUAUGCUGACUGUGGAUGGUAGUGAGCAUAGAUACAGUGUGUAAAGAUAGACCUGGACUGAAUGUCGAGCUUUACAUUUAUCUGUGUUACAGUACAUCUGGUGCUGAUCAAGUAUCAGACAGUGUAGAAUGGACACUGACAAUAUGGUGUACACUGUUACAGUACACCUCAUCAAACCUCGGUGACACAGAGUGGACCUUCAUAGACAAUAGGUCACAGUACACUUUGUGAAGGUCAAACCUCGGUGACACAGAGUGGACCUUCAUAGACAAUAUGUUGUAGAUGUAAUAGAAUUAUAGGUACACCUGGUGCUGAUCAAGUUUCAGACUUCAUAGAGUGAACACUCGGACAAUAGGGUGUACAGUGUUACAGGUCAAAUAUGUCAAACUGGUGUAUUUUAGGCCAUUGUCCUGUAUUGGCGUAAUUAUACGUUGUGUAGUCAAUCAUCAUAGAGUCUACUGCCCAGUACAUUGGGACUCACUACUAUCUCAACGACUGAACUGAAGGCUGCCGUUUGAGACAGUGUUCCCAGCACAAUGCACAGGAAACCAAUACUGGCACAGAGCUGACAGGAGCAGAGUAAAAUUCAUUAAUCUUACAGGAACUGUUCUGAGGACCGAAGGACUGCUGUUACCCAGCAGUUCAUGAUAUUCAUAUUGAAAAAAUAUUAAGAUAUUGGUAUGGGAGUCAUCAAGAACAGUUGAUAUGUUUCCCAGAUGAUCUGUAAAUCACAUAAACCAUAGAUUUCACCCCACCAGAUUUUAGUCAUCUAGCCUUCCAAAGCACAUUUGCCCUGUAUUGUAUUUGCCCAUGUACUGCUAAUUAUGUAUAUCAUCUUCUGACCAUGUUGGAUUCAUCCUCUUGUUCUAUAUUGUGAAAAUAUAACAGGAACUACAAAUUCCUGUUUGCAAUAUGAAUAUCUCUGAUUCCAUUAAUGAAAGAUUGCAGUCAUGUGAGAUGUGAUUUGCGCAUAUUUUAUUUAUAAGUUGCUAUGUCCCAAACUUUUGUUAAGAUUCAAAUAAAAAACGUUUUUUUUUCAGAUCCUUUGAAAGUUAUUUAUGAAUAUUGUUGGUGAUAUAUUUGUUGCAGUGCAGUAUAUCGUAAUUAAACAAUGCUGAAAGUAUUGAUUACAUAAAGAUGGGCAUUGGAGUGAUUAUUUUAUGGCAGUUUCUGUGAUUUUAACAUUCCAAGUGUACAUAGAGCAAACUUUAUUGUUGUUGUUAUUGUUGAUAUGAAAACAUUUAUCGGUAAUAUCUAUUUAUAUCUUGAAGUUACUGUGUAUUGAUAUAUAAUAUAAAUACAAAAGUAUUUGUACAGUACAUGUAUUUUGUUUCAAUUCCGGGGUGAACGAGUAAAGUAAUUUAUAUGUUACCUACUGUCUGUUUACAGUAAGAAAAUUUACUACAUUGUAGUUUGGUGAAUAUGAUAUUUACCCAUCACGUAUUUGGGGACUUUUUCUACUACUGUAUAAUGUAAAUGUUUAAUUUUGGUUUCAAACUCUUCUGUUAAGGAGAUAAUGCCAAACAAACGUAUCCUUUAAAAAAAGUAAUACAUUUAUACCUCGGUGUGUGAGAAAUUUGCAAUCCUCUAAGUGAUUCUUGUAAACAUAGAUUUAGGAGAAGGAAAGAGUCAAGCCUGUCUAUAAAGAAUGUUAAAGAAAGAAAGCAAAAACAGUAAAGAUAUUGGACAAGCACUCCUUACACACAAAUUGUUGAUAUUUGUCAACUUUAGAUAUUCUAAAACCAACAUCCAUAUUACAGGUAGACAGGUAAUUCUACAGACAGGCAAUUUUUCCUCUAAGGCAGGUUUAAAUGUAGUAACCAGGCUACCAAAUUGUCCUAUUUAUAUAUUUUUUUAUCAUUGGUCAAGCAUUCUACAAGAAGGUGACUAUCUUUAGUACAUCAGAAAUGUUAUGGAACAUGGUUGUAAUUAUAACAAUAUCUGUGUAGGACCUGUUUACCUUAGAUUUCCAGUAUAAGGCUGUAGUGCGGGGAGUCCAUUAACCAUCCUAUACUCACUAAAGAAUAGUGGUGACUUGUAGUUAGAUGAACAUAUCAAAUGCAUUGGCAGAGUUGUUUACUUACUAAGGCAGUAUUUCUGUCCUAACUUUAACGGGUUUAACCACUUACACAGGUUUUAUCCGUCUCAUUACAAUAGGUUUCCUCACUCCCACAUAUACUUAUAUAUAUCCCAGCCUAUGGUUGAUAUUUUGACUGGUUACACAUUGUGAAAUAACCACAAGCUGUUUCACUCUAUACAUCUUUAUUCACAUUUAUGUUAUGGGAGAAACAAAAUCUCCAAUUUGUGAUAAUUGAUUAUUGUUUAUAUUCAUUUAUAUACUUAAUUCUCAUAUGUUAUCUUCACAAAAUCUGAAGAUUAUAUGUGAGCAUUAAAAUCAAUCAAAUGGAUAGAAAUACUGUCAAUCUUCUAUCAUGUACGCUAUUUAUUAUCACGCAACAUAUCUUUUUCUGUAGAUUGGAGAAUCAUGUUACCUUUUAAUGUUAAAUUUUAAUUAGGGUUGUAUGUUUAUUGUAAAUAUUGAAGUGUCAAGCAAUGUGCAAUAUCUUGUAUAUACAAAAUUGUAUAAAGCUUAUUUCAUAAAAAUGUAUUGUAUCUAGUCAAUGAACUUAUGAUAUUUUAGUAUAUAUCAAUAUUUGCUGUAAAAUUCUUAAUAGAAUAUAAAAUAUAU
rnacentral:misc_RNA from 1 species